UACGUAGGGUGCGAGCGUUGUCCGGAAUUACUGGGCGUAAAGAGCUCGUAGGUGGUUUGUCGCGUUGUUCGUGAAAACUCACAGCUCAACUGUGGGCGUGCGGGCGAUACGGGCAGACUGGAGUACUGCAGGGGAGACUGGAAUUCCUGGUGUAGCGGUGGAAUGCGCAGAUAUCAGGAGGAACACCGGUGGCGAAGGCGGGUCUCUGGGCAGUAACUGACGCUGAGUAGCGAAAGCGUGGGGAGCGAACAGG
rnacentral:rRNA from 1 species